ACUAAGGAGUAUUUUCUCAGGUGUAAAGUGAAUUUGUCUUCCCGUGUCUGUUGUCUCCAGGUCAUCAAUGCUAACCUAUUGUUGGAUGACAUAUUUUGCCUAUCACUCUUACCUGUUAGCUUUUCUUCUGAGUGGUAGUGCCUAUGGUUACUUUAUCAGAAAUAGCCCCCAUUUAAAAAGACCCUUAUACCAGCAGUCUCAGAGUCAUCAUUGUUGAGUGUUAACUUUUUCUGUAUCACGGCAUAUGUGAAAGGAUUGAGACCCUGACAGUAACAGUGGCUCGCCACAACAGUGAUGCUCACACAGGAAGGGUGUAGGGUAGACAUUCUCCAACAGGCCUUUCCUUUUUCUCUUCCUCCUCCUCCUAUCCAUUGGGAGUCACCAAUAUCACUGUUUGUAGUAUGUGGUAUAUAUUUCUGUUUCUGAUAUGAAUUAAACAGGAUCCCUCACUUGUUUCUUCAAAAAUAAUGUCAACCUUCACAUUUAAUUUGUGAAGUCUCUCAUUUGUAAGUGAAAUUGGGUGUUUUUUUGGGGGGGGGUUGGUCUAAAAAAGUAAUUAUUUGUGGAUAGGCAAAAGUGGUCUCUUCUUCCAAGAAGCCUCUUUCUCAUUCCUGACUCACAGCGCAUAACAGCAGUCUUGAAGUGGCCAUUCUCAUUCAAGGUUACCAAUAUUUUCCCUUCCCUUAGGAGUCCACACCUUGCUCACCACUCAUCUCAGUGCCAUUCUCACAGAGAGCCACAGUGUAGUGCAGGAUUCCAUCCAGGUUGCCGUGGACCAGGCCUUGGAACAGCAUCACCAGGCUACCAAGGAUCAUCAGAAAUUGCAGGUCUCACUCUCAGUGGCUGUGAAUUCCAUAAUGAGUAUCGUGACUGGAAGCACCAGCAGUAACUUCCGAAAGAUCUGUCUCGGUGCCCUUCAAGCAGCUGACACUCAAGAGUUUGGGACCAAACUGCAUAAAUCAUUUCAUGAGAUCACCCGGCACCGAUUUCUUCCCUACUGCUCAUGUGAGAUG